rnacentral:rRNA from 2 species
AUGAUUUUGGAUCCGACUGAGUGGCGAACUGGUGAGUAACACGUGGGUAACCUGCCCAGAAGAAGGGGAUAACACCUGGAAACAGAUGCUAAUACCGUAUAACAACAAGAACCACAUGGUUCUUGKUUGAAAGCUGGCCUUUGUGCUAGUGCUUCUGGAUGGACCCGCGGCGUAUUAGCUAGUUGGUGAGAUAAUAGCUCACCAAGGSAAUGAUACGUAGCAGACCUGAGAGGGUAAUCUGCCACAAUGGGACUGAGACACGGCCCAUACUCCUACGGGAGGCAGCAGUAGGGAAUCUUCCACAAUGGACGAAAGUCUGAUGGAGCAACGCCGCGUGAGUGAAGAAGGGUUUCGGCU